UCGGCAAUUCCUGGAGGCAAACAGAAAGCGGAUAUCUGGAUCAGAGAGGAGAUGUCUAGGAUCAACGAUAGGUACGCCAAACUGAACUCAACCAUAAACACGUGGGAGACCCAUAAGAGGAAAAAGGCCAAAAGCAAAUUGAUCGAGACAGAGGGUGAACUGGAGAAGAAGAAGAGACAACGCAUUGAAAACAUUUCAGACCGAGAUGGAC